rnacentral:rRNA from 1 species
CGCUGGCGGCGUGCCUAAUACCAUGCAAGUCGAACGGUCUUUCUAUGGAAGCUUGCUUCCACUGAGAAGAUAGUGGCGAACGGGUGAGUAACACGUGGGGUAACCUGCCCAUAAGAGGGGGAUAACAUCCGGAAACGGGUGCUAAUACCGCAUAGUUUCUUGAUCGCAUGAUCGGGAAAGGAAGACGGCCUUUGUGCUGUCGCUUAUGGAUGGACCCGCGGCGUAUUAGUUAGUUGGUGAGGUAACGGCUCACCAAGACGAUGAUACGUAGCCGACCUGAGAGGGUGAUCGGCCACAUUGGGACUGAGACACGGCCCAAACUCCUACGGGAGGCAGCAGUAGGGAAUCUUCCGCAAUGGACGAAAGUCUGACGGAGCAACGCCGCGUGAGUGAAGAAAGGUUUUCGGAUCGUAAAACUCUGUUGUCAGAGAAGAACAAGUUGGAGAGUAACUGCUCCAGCCUUGACGGUAUCUGACCAGAAAGCCACGGCUAACUACGUGCCAGCCGCAGC